rfam:Gossypium raimondii chromosome 4, whole genome shotgun sequence.
AGCCCAUGAUGAGGACACAUUUUCAAAAGAUUCUUAAAUCUCUCUCGUGCAUCAUAUAAUGUCUCCAACUCAAAUUGAACAAAAGAAGAGAUGUCGUUCCUCAACUU